GAUGAACGCUGGCGGCGUGCUUAACACAUGCCAGUCGAACGAUGAAGCCCAGCUUGCUGGGUGGAUUAGUGGCGAACGGGUGAGUAACACGUGAGUAACCUGCCCUUAACUCUGGGAUAAGCCUGGGAAACUGGGUCUAAUACCGGAUAGGAGCGUCCACCGCAUGGUGGGUGUUGGAAAGAUUUAUCGGUUUUGGAUGGACUCGCGGCCUAUCAGCUUGUUGGUGAGGUAAUGGCUCACCAAGGCGACGACGGGUAGCCGGCCUGAGAGGGUGACCGGCCACACUGGGACUGAGACACGGCCCAGACUCCUACGGGAGGCAGCAGUGGGGAAUAUUGCACAAUGGGCGCAAGCCUGGUGCAGCGACGCCGCGUGAGGGAUGACGGCCUUCGGGUUGUAAACCUCUUUCAGUAGGGAAGAAGCGAAAGUGACGGUACCUGCAGAAGAAGCACCGGCUAACUACGUG
rnacentral:rRNA from 1 species